CCCUUAGAUGUUCUGGGCGGCCCGCGCACUACAUUGGCACUAGCAAAGAGAUCCUAGAUUGAAUUCUUUGGGGUAUUCUUCUAAAUGGUGUCGUGACUGGGAUAAAUCCUUGUAAUUAUUGGUUUUGAACGAGGAAUUCCUUGUAAUCGCGGUUUAUCAGCUCGCGUUGAGUGCGUCCCUGCCCUUUGUACACACCGCCCGUCGCUCCUACCGAUGGAUCGUCCGGUGAAGCUCACGGAGUGACUGUUCACGCAACGGUUUACGAAGUGAAAUGGACCUCACGAUUUAGAGGAAGGAGAAGUCGUAACA
rnacentral:rRNA from 1 species